rnacentral:tRNA from 1 species
CCGCCCAUAACUCAGUUGGUAGAGUAGCCGGCUCUUAACCGGAAUGUCGCAGGUUCAAAUCCUGCUGGGCGGA